AUUGUAUUUGUUUAUUGUACUCCAUAUGUUUUAGUGGAUUCAGCCACAUUAAUUUUUAAAGACGCAGUUUGUGCAUUUACACUGCUGCCUAUGAUGCAUAGGCCAAAUUUUAUUUACCCAAUAAUUUGUAAUUUUCUAACUUGAGGCUAUCACAAAUAAUGUUGCAAUGGACAUUGACAUACCUAUUCCUUGGUGAAGAUGUACACACAUUUAGGUUGAGUAAAUAACCUGUAUUGGAAUCGCUGCAUCAUGCAGUCUGAGCGUGUUGGACUGUAAUAGGUAUUUCACAACUGUUUCCUGUUUCCGGAGUGUGGUGCCAAUUAACAGCUGCAUGAGCAGCAUACAAAUUUCUGUUGCUUUACAUUCUUGUCACCCCCUUUGUUUUCAAUUCUAGUCACUUUGGUUAAUACGUAGUGGUAUGAAAUUGUGGUUAUAAUUUGCAUUUUUCAGUGAUUUUCACAUUGAUUUGGAGGACCAAUACACACAAACACACACACAGGCAAACCGUAUACGAGUUCUUUGUCAAUUAUAUAUUGCAAAUAUUUGCUUCCUUUCCAUAGUUACCCUUCACCCUCUUU
rnacentral:lncRNA from 1 species